GACGGCGGGUAACGCCCGGCCCGCGCCACCCCCGCGCCCGCCCCGCGCCCGCCCCGCCGGCAGCGCGGGCCCUCCGCGCAUCCCCCCCGGGGAGGGCUGCCCUCAGUGCCACCGCCAGCAUCCCCGGCAUUCGCCGGCAUUCCUGGCGCCCGCCCCUUUGCCGCCAAAUGGGAAUUACACAGGAACUGCAGAUUACUGCCUCUGCUCAGCCCCCCAUUCAAGAGAGGAUUUGGAUACCUUGUGAGAGUUGGAUGGCUUGUGAGGUAAACAGAUCAUGUAAGAGCUUUUGCUGCUAACAGCUGUUCUGUAAAGGUGUGAAAAUCUUGAUGCUCUGCAUUAGCUGGAUAGAAAGGAUGUACCCGAAUUGACUACAUUACUCUGUGCUUGAAGAGCAAAGGCAAGAUUUCUUCUUCAACACUGCAUUGCCAGUCCUGGUUGCCAGUGGUGCCAGUUCUCCUUCACCCAUGGGAAGAAGAGACAGGGAGAAGGACCAAAGUUUUGCAAAACUACAAGGAUUCACUACUGCCUCCAGUGGGGAUGGUGGUAUGUAGGUUGGCCUGGCUAGAAUCAAUUACCGUAGCUCCAGUAUCACAAGGAGCAUGGGAAGAGAAAAACUGGCCUUAAAAACCAGUCGCACAAAGAAGCAAAUCUGUAGAAGACACUGCUAAGGAGUGAAAGCAAACCUCAGCAGGCUUGUUGUGCCUGGGAGUUGUCCUUGAGGAAAAAAAAUGUAUUCAUACAUCAUAUUGGACAUUUUCAAGCUGGAUUUGUCAUUGCCCCCAUGAAGUGGCUCUACUUGUCAAAUAGGUCCCUCCCCUUCCCCACUCAUAUGAAAUAUAAUGGAUAAGCAAUCAAAACUCA